CAGCCGCCACGGGAAUACAGAGGGUGCGAGCGUUAAUCGGAUUUACUGGGCGUAAAGCGUGCGUAGGCGGCUUCUUAAGUCUGAUGUGAAAUCCCUGAGCUUAACUUAGGAAUUGCAUUCGAUACUGGGAAGCUAGAGUAUGGGAGAGGAUGGUAGAAUUCCAGGUGUAGCGGUGAAAUGCGUAGAGAUCUGGAGGAAUACCGAUGGCGAAGGCAGCCAUCUGGCCUAAUACUGACGCUGAGGUACGAAAGCAUGGGGAGCAAACAGGAUUAGAUACCCCUGUAGUCCCUGUCUCUUAUAU
rnacentral:rRNA from 1 species